GAUGAACGCUGGCGGCGUGCCUAAUACAUGCAAGUCGAGCGAACAGACGAGGAGCUUGCUCCUCUGACGUUAGCGGCGGACGGGUGAGUAACACGUGGAUAACCUACCUAUAAGACUGGGAUAACUUCGGGAAACCGGAGCUAAUACCGGAUAAUAUAUUGAACCGCAUGGUUCAAUAGUGAAAGACGGUUUUGCUGUCACUUAUAGAUGGAUCCGCGCCGCAUUAGCUAGUUGGUAAGGUAACGGCUUACCAAGGCAACGAUGCGCAGCCGACCUGAGAGGGUGAUCGGCCACACUGGAACUGAGACACGGUCCAGACUUCUACGGGAGGCAGCAGUAGGGAAUCUUCCGCAAUGGGCGAAAGCCUGACGGAGCAACGCCGCGUGAGUGAUGAAGGUCUUCGGAUCGUAAAACUCUGUUAUUAGGGAAGAACAAAUGUGUAAGUAACUAUGCACGUCUUGACGGUACCUAAUCAGAAAGCCACGGCUAACUACGUG
rnacentral:rRNA from 1 species